CCAAAUCAAUGGCGGAAAAAAAUGACAUUUUAUGAGAAGUUUGAGUAAGUUUAAUCAGGAAACUAUGGGGGGUACAGAUUAUACUAACUAUGGCAGGUCGCAAUCGACUGAGAAAAUGGGAAACACUGGACUGUAUAUGAAGUCAUCUCCCUAUUUACAUUCAAACAGGUUGUAAUUUAAAUGGGAUAUCAUAAACGUUAAAUGACUAGUUACCAGCAAGCUGCUAAUGCCAACCAACAUGCACCGAUGUCUUUUUGGCUAUUCGGAAGCAAAGCAUCUUGCCAAACUAUCAAAAAACUUAUUCUUAACCACCAACGGAAGUAGGCUAUCUGGUAUGCUGAGCAGGCUGUGCAAGCCCACGCGGAGGAUUGGCUGCACGAGGAGGGAAGGUCCCGCCUACUUCCUGGGUUUCUGGUGACAAUGCCAUCGAUUGGUGCGGCAUGCUACUACGGGCCAAUCAAAGGGCGACAGUGACGACCACCACCUGCUUAAAAGCCUGCCGGGUCAGCUGUUCGAGGCAGCAAUCUGACCUGAGUUGCUUUCCUUGGGAACACAUGUCUCAGAGCUUGUAGUAGUGUUUUGUUACCUGUGCCAGACUUUGUGUUUUGACUGUGUUUCACUGUGUGAUGGUAAGGGAGUGGGCCAGGUUUAAGCUUAGAGAUAACUGACACCUUUCUUGCAUACACCGUAGUUGUUUUAUGUUAGUUUUCACCAGGUUCAGGGGUGCUGUGCGCUUUGUGUUUUGGGUUUUUGCAAAUGCUGUAGGUUAGUGAGCUUUUGGUUUACCCUAAUUUUAGUUAGUACCUCUGUAGAGCAGUAAUCCUCCUUUUGAGGAUCUCCUUUUGUUAUAAUUGUUUGUUGAUUUCCACAGCACCCAUUGGCCCAUUCUGUUUGUGCUCCAUUUGCGUUACUUCAAAUAAAUAUCCUUUCAAACCAA